rnacentral:rRNA from 1 species
GAAAGAUUUAUUGCUAAGAGGUCGGCCCGCGGUAGAUUAGGCAGUUGGUGGGGUAAAGGCCUACCAAACCUACGAUCUAUAGCUGGUCUGAGAGGACGAUCAGCCACAUUGGAACUGAGACACGGUCCAGACUCCUACGGGAGGCAGCAGUGAGGAAUAUUGGGCAAUGGAGGCAACUCUGACCCAGCCAUGUCGCGUGAGUGAAGAAGGUUUUCGAAUUGUAAAGCUCUUUCGGGUGUGAAGAUGAUGACGGUAACACCAGAAGAAGCCCCGGCAAACUUCGUGCCAGCAGCCGCGGUAAUACGAAGGGGGCGAGCGUUGUUCGGAAUUACUGGGCGUAAAGGGUGUGUAGGCGGUUAAGUAAGAUAGUGGUGAAAUGCCGGGGCUCAACCUCGGAAUUGCCAUUAUGACUAUUUAGCUAGAAUGAUGCAGAGGAUAGCGGAAUACCCAGUGUAGAGGUGAAAUUCGUAGAUAUUGGGUAGAACACCAGAGGCGAAGGCGGCUAUCUGGGCAUUGAUUGACGCUGAGGCACGAAAGCAUGGGGAUCAAACAGGAUUAGAUACCCUGGUAGUCCAUGCUGUAAAC